ensembl:lncRNA
GUUCUUUCAAAGGUCUCUCUCUCUGCUGUUCCCUCCGCUUCCCACUCCUCUCCGCUCACCCUCUCCUGCAAACUCAGUGGAUUCUACCCUGACAACGUGUCUAUUCUCUGGAUCCAGAAUGGAAAGGUUCUUCCUAACUGUACUUUGUCCGUCCAGAAUGAGGAAGGAAUGUACGGGAGACAUCAGUAUCUCACCCUGAGUGCGGAGGAGAGGAGCAGAGGAGGAGAGGUGCAGUGUGUGGCCAGCCACCUGAUGUGAAAGAACCUGCCUUUGGAACUAUUGACCUCUCCGCCGUUGACCCACAAGAGAAGCUGAAGUCUCUGAACAUCUCAGCGAUUGUUCUGCCCCCCAGGGUGGUUGUGAGUAAGAAAGGCAGAGUCACCAUCAGUGUGGAAGGCAGGUUGGCAGAGAGAGUACAGACCACAUGGUUUCUCAAUGAUGUCCCCAUUACAGACACUGCAUACAGAGAGAAAAAAUAUGGUCCUUUUUGCUUGGCAGCCUAUACUCCUCACAGCUCUCAUGUGUCUUUGGUGUCGGAGAAAAGCUCUCUGCUGCCCUCUGCUGCUGCCUCAGGAUAUUACAAGCUGCACACUCAGAUGUUGCCAUGCUUGUUCUCCUGCUCCAUGAAGCAGCUGUUCUCCUCCGUCACAUUUAUAACAAACCUGUCCAUUCACAAGGGUGCAGUUUUCAAAUGCCACAUCUCGUAUAAGGGCAAAGACAAGCUUGUGGCCAAGAGAGUUUCCGACAAGUUUACUAUUCAAGCACCACCUGAAGUUUCAUUGAUCCAGUUCUCAGAGUCAAAUGAGGAAGGAGGCGUUGUGACCAUGAUGGCCCAGGCCUCUGGCUUUCAUCCGGACAUCACCACCUUCCGCUGGUUCUGUGAGGGCAGCGAGCUGAGCCCCGUGUCUGUCCCGCAGGUGCUGGCGGCCCCUCGGCCAGAUGCUGCAGGCUUCUUCUCUUCUUCUGCAGGCCCCCGCCGCAGAGCUGGAGCGAGGGGAGACCCAGUAAUUGGCGUGGGGAGACGGUAUAUAAGACAGUCGGAAACCGGCGAGGAGGAGAGAGAGCUGAGGACUCGUGGGGACCAGGAAGCCGGAAGCCAGAGAUAUUCCGAUGAGUAUUGGAAAUACUACACUGGUGCCGAAACCCGGGAGGAAGGAGGGACGCACUGCCGAAGAUCCCUCAUCGCUGGGGUGAAUCUGCGGUGCCAUCGAGCAUGGUGGAGCAGUCUGCCGCCGUGGACGCUCGAGGCGGUGGGCUGGAGUGAGUUGCCGGGGGGACGGACGAGCUUGCUGCCGGAUGCCUGAGAUGUGGAGGGACGGCUGCCUUCCGGAAGGGAGCAGAGGAGUCGCCGCCGUUCGCCUGGGGCCACCACCAAAUCAUCGGCAUAUUUAAUAAUGUGCCUGCCUGGAUAUUGACUUCUGCACCUUUCAGAGUAUAGAAUAAAUAACAGAGGUGAAAGAAUACAGCCCACUGAGGGGUAAAGCUCCCGGGAAUGUCCUCCAUUUACUCAUACUCUUUGAGAUCUUCUGGUCAGAAAAUCCAAAAUCCAGGUUAAAUAGUAUUAAAUGCUGUCUAUAAAUUAAAGUAUUAAAUGAAAAUCUAUAAAUAACCCAAUGAGCAAUGAGUCUUACUCAUGCAUGACUCAUUGUCAAAUGAUUUGGUUCCAUAAAGCUAAUUUUUUAACAUAGCUCAAGCUCAAUCACUUUGAAAAUGCUGGGAAACUAACCGGGUCAGGAGUAGGCUAAACUGAUCCUCUAACACUGACCAAUACAAUCUAAAAUUGCCCUUUAAAGCAUUAAAAUCACAAAAUUAAAAGUUAAAAUGAAUAAUAAAAAACAGACUACAUUUGAACUGGUAACAGGAACACGUGAACUCAUUUGAGCUUAAUAAUUGGGACUGUAUUAGCUUACAUUUGAUUUUCCCAUUAUAGUCCCUUUGCGGUUACUGUUUUGCAUUGUAUGUCGGUUUAAAAUUUUCCAUCACAUUAAAUGUCCCACAACAAAUAUUUAAAAAAAAAAUUAUAUUUUACUCUAUUGCGCUCCGCCUGAUUAACACGCAUCGCCAGCAAAAUGCAAAAUGGAUAUGUUUGCAUGACUUUCAAACAUUUACAGAUGAAGAAUAUUAGUUAUGCACUGAGGAAAACACAACAUCUCAAAUGCACUAAACCAGUGGUUCUCAAACUUUUUAUACCGAGUACCAUCUCAGAAAAAAUUUGGCACCAUGAUGACCAACAUUAAAAUACUGCAUACUGUGCAAAAUACUGUGUAUAUUUAUAAUGUAAUACAUUAUAUAAAUAUACAUACAUGCAUGUAUAUAUUUACGAAAAAUGUAUGUUUAUAUAUUAAAUAUAUUUGUAUAUCAUAUAAAUUAUAUGAAUAUGAAUAUAUACAUGUAAAUAUAUGUAAAUAUUUUCAAAAUAUAUAUUGUAUGUGUGUGUAUAUGUAUAUACAUAAUAAAUCUACACAGUACACACAUAUAUUAUGUAAACAAAAACAUUUAUUUUGGUUGCGAUUAAUGGUGAUUAAUUGUUGUACAGCACUAGUUUUAACAUUCAUUUAUAUUUAAUUUAGAGAUUCCUCUGUGUACCACACUUUUAGAAGCACUGCAUUAAACAGCACACAUUUAUACAUUUAUAUUACAUUUAUACGCCGUUUGUCAUGCUGGAUCAAUUUUAACCAUGAUCGACAUUCAGGGCUGCUAAAGAGCAAGUGUGCACAUUAUAUUAUCUUGACUCAUUGAACCCGGAUCAAAUUAGUGAGAUUAAUAGUGUCAAAAAUUUUAAGUUAACCCAGGAAAGCCCAAAAAAGAAACCACCUGUUACAAUAAAAAGUGGUAGUGGUUUGCUGAAUUUUCCAUCAGGUUUUUGAUUGUAAUUCUUUAUUAUUUGACAAGUCACACAGGUUUUCACAUGACGUUUCAUGUCGGACCACAUGCCUGGCCAGAAUGCUACUUCUUGGAGUCGUUUGUACGUUUUAUAGAUUCCUCCAUGGCCACUAAGACAACUGGAAUGGUAGUGCUUCAGCAAAGAGGGACGAAGACUGCUGGGAACGUAGACUCGGUAGUGCAUCUGGUUAUCUGGAAGGACAACACCUGACAAUGGCAGGUCUGACUCCUUGUGGCUUGUGUACAGAGUGCAGCUCGAGAUUGUCGCAGGACCCAACAGAUGAGUCGCCUGGUGGUUUUGGUGGAACCCAUGACCCAUUGCAGAGCAGAGUGGACAGUGACAACUGUGAAGAGUUUGUGUUCCAGAAUAGCACCCAAACCAGUGUCACUGGCAUCGAUGUAAACGGUGAAGGGGAGCUGAAGAUCUGGAUGGCCAAGGAUGGGUGGUGAGUGAGUUGAGGGGUUCGGCUAUCCUUGAAAAUUUUGGGACAUACCGAUGAUACCACCCAGCCAAUCCAAGGAACCUUUGAACCUCCUUCAGAUUUCUAGGCACAGGUUCCCCCAGAACUGUUUCCAUAAGUCUCUGGAAAGUGGUGGGAGCAUUUUUGAGACCAAACGGCAUAACAUUAACUGACAGAGACCUGCAGGAGUGAUGAAGGCAGUCUUGGCUUUGCUAUUGGGGUCCAUUGCUACAUGCCAAUAGCCACUGUUAAGAUCAAUAGUGGAGAAAAUGGCUACUCCUGGAGAGUGACUCCAGGAUUUCUGUGAUGUUUGGAAGAGGGUAAGCAUCACUUUCAGUUACAGAAUUAACCUCUCUGUAGUCCACACAGAAUCUAAGUUUGCCAUCCUCUUUGGGUACCAAGACCACUGGGGAGGCCCAACCAAAGUGGUAUGGCUCAACAAUUCCUUGCAUCAACAUUUCCUCAAGCUGUUCCUCCAUGGAAAGCUGUUUAAGAGGGGACAAGCAAUAUGGUUUUUGCUUAAUCCUCUGGGGUUCUUCAUUUAGGAGUCACACUCUGGACCUUCGCAGUCAAAAGUGACAGGACCCCUGAAAUCAAAAAUUUUUUUCCCCAGUAAAAUCAAUGUAAUAUAUUUUUAUUCAAUAAUAUUUUUUCUUUUGAAUUUUGAGAGAAUUUUAUGGUAAUAAUUAAUAUUUACUAUAAUUAUGACUAUUUUUCCCCUUUAAUAAUAAUAAUAAAAAAAUUAUAUAUAUAUAAUUUUCAUUAUUUUUCAAUUAAUGCUGUAUUUCAGGUUAAAAUAGAGACUAGGCCUUUAAAAUCCAUUUUUUAAAGUCAGAUUGGUGCCUCCUGGUGGGAGUAGUGAGCAAUAAUUUCAUGCAUUAACAUAGUUAACCACUAGAUUGAUGUACAGCUCUCUAAAGAAAGGCUUGCGAAUUCCCUAGUUGUUUUUGCACAUAUUUUCUCCUUUUUUUUAGGUUGUUGAUUUGAAUAUAUAUUUAGAGAUUCUCAAAGACUACUUUUGUUAAGUUUUUUGUUUGUUUGGUUGGUUUAAGGAAUCUCCCUUUUCUGUCCAAGAUACUAGAAAAGGUAGUAUCCUCACAAUUAUAUUCCUUCUUAGAGAAAAAUGGCAUCUGUGAGGAUUUCCAGUCAGGAUUUAGACCGUAUCAUAGUACUGAGACUGCUCUCCUUAGAGUUACAAAUGACCUGCUCUUAUCAUCUGAUCGUGGUUGUAUCUCUCUAUUAGUGCUAUUGGAUCUUAGUGCUGCGUUCGACACUUUUGACCACACCAUUCUUUUGCAUAGGCUAGAACACUUUGUUGGCAUUAAUGGAAGUGCAUUAGCAUGGUUUAAAUCGUACUUAUAUGACCGCCAUCAAUUCGUAGCAGUGAAUAAAGAGGUAUCAUAUCGAUCACAAUUGCAGUAUGGAGUACCUCAAGGCUCAGUACUAGGGGCCGUUACUCUUCACGCUUUACAUGUUACCCUUGGGAGAUAUCAUCAGGAAACACGGUGUUAGCUUUCACUGUUAUGCUGAUGAUACUCAGCUCUAUAUUUCUUCGCAGCCCGGCGAAACAUACCAAUUUGAAAAACGGAAUGCAUUGUCGAUAUAAAAAACUGGAUGACGAGUAAUUUCUUACUGCUAAAUUUUGAAAAAAACAGAGGUGUUAAUUAUAGGACCUAAAAGCUCUGCAUGUAAUAACCUAGAAUGCUGUCUAAGACUUGAUGGCUGCUCUGUCAAUAAUUCGUCAUCAGUUAGGAACCUAGGUGUGCUAUUUGAUAGCAACCUUUCCUUAGAAAGCCACGUUUCUAGCAUUUGUAAAACUGCAUUUUUCCAUCUCAAAAAUAUAUCUAAAUUACGGCCUAUGCUCUCAAUGUCAUCACUGCACUGGCUCCCUAUCAAACAUCAUAUAGAUUUUAAAAUCUUGCUUGUUACUUAUAAAGCCCUGAAUGGUUUAGCACCUCAGUAUAUGAAUGAGCUCUUGUUACAUUAUAGUCCUCCAUGUCUGCUCCGUUCUCAAAACUCUGGCAAUUUGAUAAUACCUAGAAUAUCAAAGUCAACUGUGGACGGCAGAUCCUUUUCCUAUUUAGCGCCCAAACUCUGGAAUAACCUACCUAACAUUGUUCAGGAGGCAGACACGCUCUUGCAGUUUAAAUCUAGAUUAAAGACCCAUCUCUUUAACCUGGCUUACACAUAACAUACUAAUACACUUCUAAUAUCCAAAUCUGUUAAAGGAUUUUUAGGCUGCAUUAAUUAGGUAAACCGGAACCGGGAACACUUCCUAUAACACCCGAUGUACUUGCUACAUCGUUAGAAGAAUGCCAUCUACGCUAAUAUUAGUCUGUUUCUCUCUUAUUCCGAG